rnacentral:rRNA from 1 species
GCUGUUCGCCAUUUAAAGUGGUACGCGAGCUGGGUUUAGAACGUCGUGAGACAGUUCGGUCCCUAUCUGCCGUGGGCGCUGGAGAAUUGAGGGGGGCUGCUCCUAGUACGAGAGGACCGGAGUGGACGCAUCACUGGUGUUCGGGUUGUCAUGCCAAUGGCACUGCCCGGUAGCUAAAUGCGGAAGAGAUAAGUGCUGAAAGCAUCUAAGCACGAAACUUGCCCCGAGAUGAGUUCUCCCUGACUCCUUGAGAGUCCUGAAGGAACGUUGAAGACGACGACGUUGAUAGGCCGGGUGUGUAAGCGCAGCGAUGCGUUGAGCUAACCGGUACUAAUGAACCGUGAGGCUUAACCUU